rnacentral:lncRNA from 1 species
CCACCAAUCACAAGCCUACGAAAAUUAAUCCAAGAUUGCUGCAAGCCUUUUGAGAAACAGCUAACACCCAGUGAUGUGAGUAAAACUCCCAGGCUCUGCUUGAACAAAGAAUACGUUGAAAAUCACAUCAAACCAGUAUUAAGAGACGGUGAAAACCCUAAUGAAGGCAUCGAUGUGACAACUUAUGACAUGGAAGGCAAGGAGUACCCAAUGAAGUUCACGACUUGGGGCACCGAUCUUUAUGUCCUUAGUAAAGGCUGGAAAACUUUCUGUCAUGAUGUUGGACUGGUUGAGACACAGGAUUUUCUGACGUUGUGUGUUUUCCGCCAUGCCAAGAAUGGAGGCCUCUGCUUCGCAAUCCAUUCACGAAGGUUGCCUUUGUUCAAAAGCAUCAAGAAAAGAAGACAAAGAAAGCAGAAUUGAGAUUGUGGACUGCCAUUAAUGUUAGUGGAGGUUUGCUUUAGGAGUUCCUCUUCAUAUUUCUGAUGUUUUGGGCAUAAUGUCCAUUUUCCUAUGAGUAUUAUGAAUUUUUGGGCAUAUUAUCCCCCCAUUUUUGUAGGAUUUCAUAGCAUUUUCACAGUUUCUGCUUCAUAAUGCAGAGUACUGAUGAUGAUCAGUUCUUGCUAGCUUAAAGGGGUUCAAUCUUUUCAUUCUUUAAAUUGUCCCUAUUGUUUUCCAGUACUAACGCAGCUGUGAAUUUUUGUUAAGGAUGUAGAAAGAAAGAAUCUUAGUUUUACUUGUACUAGUUGUCAUGGCAAAUUAAGUGUAGCAAGGUAGCUCUUUUUUAACAGUGCAUAAAUUUUUGUUUACUGAAAUAUUGAAUUCUCUGAUUAGACCUCUCUGUCUAUAACCCUGGUCUGAAAACCAGGUACACUACUUUCUUUAGCUAUCUAUUUUGUAAAUCAACCAAAAUCUCAUGAAACAUAUACCCAAAAAAAAAAAAAAAAAAGUGUCUUCACUAGUUUACUGUAGCAUGUAAAGGGAUCAAAGCCACAUUACCCCAAAGGGUAUUGCUGCAAACAGCUCAAGGUUACAGACAAUUCUGUAAAGAGAUCAAAUUUCAGGUUUUAUGGACAUUUUUUUGCUGCAAAUUUGUAAGCAGAAAUUGAAAUAAUCAGUAUAUAUUAAUCACUUUAAAAGAUUGUCUGUACAAGUUUUCUGUAGCAUGUAAGAGAUAAAAGCCACAUUACCCAAUAAGGUUAAUACUGCAAACAGCUCAAUUUUGCAGAAAAUUCUGUAAAGAGAUCAAAUUUUAGGUAUUCUAGACAUUUUUAUGCAAUUUGUUUGGAUAUGUGAUAUUAUUGAGAAAGAGAGAGAGAGAGAGAGAGAGAGAGAGAGAGAGAGAGAGUUAAAGAUAACUAAGAGUAACUAGACAUUGACAUACUGGAAUUUAAGACCAAUCGGAGCAGGCUCUGGAUCCGACCCGCUCGAGCAACUAGUACUUCUAGACGAUUUCGGGUUGGAUGUGGAUGCUCCAGCUCUUUGGUGGUGGAUAGAGUCCAUGGCAAUCGACAGUGUGGGAGGGAGAAGAAGAGGAAGAAGAAAAAGGGCGCGCUUUGCUCUAGCAGAGAUCACGAUUUUGGCGCAAAAGGUUAGAAGCAGAAAAAAAGUAACUUGAGAAGCCAAUAAUACCCCUGCCUGCUAACUCGUCUUUUCAUGUAGCAGGACAAAAACGACAUUUAAUAUUUAACCUUGUGACAACCAUGUUGGAAUCCUUGCUUUGUAGGUUUUGGUUUCAUCAAUUUAAUGUCCUUAAGUAGCAAUGCAAAAUAAAUCAUCAGCUAUGAAUAUUGUCCUGCAAUAUUUUUCAACACAAAAACAUUUACUUGAUAAUUUUACCCAGCAAGAUGGUUAAAUUUACAAGUCAGUAAUAGCUUUCUCCAGUCAAAGUAUAUGGGGUGUUAACAGUUGGUUGUUAGUUAUAACAGAUUUAGUCCAGAGACUAAUAAGUAAUUCGAGAUCCAUUAUCAAGCAAAAAAAAAAAAAAAAAAAAAGAAGAAAAGGGGUUCCAUCUAGAAACAUCUGAUCUUUAACUGUCUAUAAAACUCAGUGCAGAAAGAGAAAGAGCAAGUACCUUCCAUUUCCCAUUUUUCUUCAACCAAAUUAAUCUCCCAAAAAAC